AGUGAUUGGUCAGACCAUAGAUAAUAUAGAAGACAGCACGCUAACGUCUCUAGUAUUCUGUUUCUAUGGUCGGCACGUCUGGUGGCAUCUCUGGCUGCUGUUGAUCUUGUUUUUGGAGUAAAACACGGUGGAAGCUGAAUUAGUGAGGAUGACUCCUGCUCCUGUCAUCUCUAAGCUCCUCACACAUCUUUACCUGCACAUGAGGAAAAUCACUCCUGUAGAAUGCAGAUGUUCAGAGGGAGAUGAUGCCACAUCUGGUCCAGCUGAUGGAAGGUCUUGAAGUUCUCUGACUGGCCUCGACUGAAGAUGGUCGUCUCACUGGAUUUAAGGUUCAGAUGCUCAGUAACAAACUCCACCAAUGAGCCAACAGGGAAGCUUUAGGUUUAUUAAAUGUUGCUAUGAAGGUUUCGCUGUUUUUCUUUGUGAAUGCAAUGUGCUCCAACUGAAACUUGAAUUAGAACUUAGAAGUAAAUCCUUCCAUCUGAAAGGAUUUAGUUGCAUUAAUAACCUCAUAACAUUCUAAUUUUUCUUCCAGUCUUAGUUGGAAAUAGAAUCUCUGUAUUGAUUCAGGUAAAAACUGAACUUCACAGCAUGUUGGAGCAAAACAACCAGAUGAAAACUGUGAUGGUGUUGGAUUGUCAGACCGUAAUGUUGCAGCUCAAAGCAGCUUUUCUAGCUCAGUUCAUUCUGACAUUCAGCUAUGAAUCAACACAGCAGAUGGUGAUCCAUGCUGUGGAAGUCUCACAUCUCCUGAUUUAAUGGAGCUGCUUUGCACUUUUUACACUGUUUAUUCACCAACACUUUAUUUAAUAAAAGUCCCAUCUAGUUUUUAUGAGGAAUGUGAUGUUUUAAUUUCUCUGUGAAUAACUGCAGUCUAAUGCAACAGCUGGAGUUGUAACAUCUGUCCUGAUAUUGAUCAUGAAGUAUUGAUCAGAAUACUUAUGGUCAGCAUUCAUCCCUGAAGUUUUACAUUAAAACCUUUACUUGUGUUGUGAAGUUUGGUAAGAAGCAGAAAUGUUAGCGUUGCCAUGGAUACAUGAGUGUUAAAUUCUGUCCAUGUUUCCAUUUUGGGAAAUGCAGUCCAGUUCCAGAAUGUGGAGGAAUUUAGUCUCACAGACAACAAAUAUUAUCUGAAAGUCGGGUUAUUGUUGUUUAUCAGCACAAUACAAAAAGAUUAAUGUUAGAAAUAUUCCAGUUAAGACUCUAGAAUAUCAUGAUUUAUGGAAAUUUACCUCAAUAAUAUGAAUGUUCAGGUUAAGAUUGUACAGUGAUAUUUAUUAUGCAAGUUUAGCUGAUUAAAGUUUAUGACUCUGCACUAAAAUAUUAUUUAAAUUGACAUCAUUAUUAUAUUUAGGGUCAGACCCUACAGUAUUGAGAUUAAGAAAUCAAAUAUUCUAUAAAAUGUAAAUACACUGAACUCAUUUGGAUAUAUUUAAGUGAGACUCUACAAUAUUAUUUGACACAAAUCUAACUAAAUCCAAAUUUUAAUCAUUUUUACCCCAAACAUUUACUGGACUGAUUUAAAUAUUAAAAUCACUCCUUUCUAAUCCUCUGCUGUACGUUCAAACCUGAGGCCUUAAAUAGAAACACACAAGUAUCUGAUUGAAGGAACUUCUGCAGAGUCCUGGUUCUAGAACAUGAUGAUAGAAUUAUAGCCAAACUUUAACAAAAGCUGCCUGAGAGUUUACAGAUUUUUAUGUUGGAUUUCUUCAGUAAAUUUAAUGAGUUAUCAGCAAUAAUCAAGUGUUCAUUUGAUGAACUUCAUUUCCUAAAACAUCCAGAAUUGGAGCUCAUAUCUUUGGCAGCUGUAAAGUUUCUGCUCCUUCAAAGUUCACAACACAAUGAAUGAAUUCCUAAAACACUCUCAGUGCUGGAGAGCGUUUGUGAUGCUGAAGCAGUGACCAGUUUUUCUGUUUCUUCUCUGGAGAUGCACAAUGAGGGACGUCUGCAGCGACUGAGAAAGAGUCUCACCACAUCCUGACAUGAGGAAAAAGACUUAAUUGAAGACUACAAUGAGAAAAACUAUCAGACAGCAGACGGCUGCAUUCAAGAAAGGAAGACCAUCAAACAUCCACGUCAGCUGAUGGAGGACCAAGAGUCUCACCUAACAACCAACCUACAGAGUGAAGACCUCGAAUCUGAUUGGACGGCCUCCUAUUCAGCCACAUGUGUGAACAAAUGCCUCUAAGUUGAUUUGUUUUCUAAAAUAAAUCUAGUUUGAGUCCUAAUCUAUGCCUGUGUGUUUGCUUCUUUACACCGCUGUUAACAGUUUAGGCUGUUACAUUGUUCCAGAUAAGACAAGUACAAGAUUCUUCAGAGCCGUUCUACCACGAGCCUGACAGGAAGAACUCCAACAGCUACUGAAUGUUCCUGUGGUUCCCUCAAGGCUACAGGAGGAGCCCUAUGAGGACGAGCCGGUCCACCUGAUGGCGGCCAGUCGCUGCGGUUCAAAGCCAACACCGACUACGUGGACUUCUACUGGACCACACGGAGGCCUUCAAACCGGACCAACAAGUUCACCGACUCCCCGACUCGUGGGUCUGAGGACGCCGCCGAGCCUCGGCCCAGCCGGCCUCCUGUCUGUGGGUGUUUGAGUGCUGAGAGGUUUGUGGAUGCAUGUGAACAUGUCUGUGUUGAAACAGCAGCUUUUCACUCAGUAACGCCGGGAAAAACCAAGAGCUCCUUUAUUUGUGACUUCCACUAAAAAAACUGAUGAAAAUAAGUUUGCCAGGGUUCUGACUAAUAACAGAUUAUUAAAUAAUGAAAAUAAUCGUUUAAAUAUUCUUUUAAACAAUCCUUUUAGGUCUGCAUUUCCUUUACACUGACUUCUUGGUAUAUGUACAAGUAUUUUGGGUGGAAUAUACCAUUAAGCCCGAUGUUCGAGGGUUCUUCUGGGAAUAUACCAUCAGAUCAACCUUUUAGGUCUACAUUGGAAGAUUUUAGAGUAGAAUAUUACUCCAAACCAUCCUUUAGGUCUACAUUUAAGGUGGAAUACUCCUUUACACCAAGAUUUUUUGGUCUACAUUGAAAGAUUUUAGGUGAAAUAUUCCUUUGAACGAACUUUUUAAGUGUAUGUUCAAGGAUGUUUGGUGGAAUAUACCAUCAGACCAACCUCCAAGUUCUACAGUAGUGAAUUUUAGAUGGAAUAUACCAUUAAACUCACCUUUUAGGUCUAC
ensembl:lncRNA